rnacentral:rRNA from 1 species
UACGGAGGGGGCUAGCGUUGUUCGGAAUUACUGGGCGUAAAGCGCGCGUAGGCGGACCUGCAAGUCGGGUGUGAAAGCCCUCAGCUCAACUGAGGAAGUGCGCCCGAAACUGCAGAGCUUGAGUGCCGGAGAGGGUGGCGGAAUUCCCCAAGUAGAGGUGAAAUUCGUAGAUAUGGGGAGGAACACCGGUGGCGAAGGCGGCCACCUGGACGGUAACUGACGCUGAGACGCGAAAGCGUGGGGAGCAAACAGG